AUCACUUCUCGGCCUUUUGGCUAAGAUCAAGUGUAAUAUCUGUUCUUAUCAGUUAAAUAUCAGAUAUGUCCUCCAUCCAAGGACAAUAUAUUAAAUGGAUUAUUGGAGCUUGGAGUUGGAAUAGGAGCUUACUCUGUCCACUCUAUGCAUCGACCUGGUGUUGCAGUACUUCCAGGAAUGGUGCACCCCCU